rnacentral:rRNA from 1 species
AUUACCUCAGUAACGGCGAAGUGAAGCGGUAACAGCUCAAAUUUGAAAUCUGGCCUCACGGUCCGAGUUGUAAUUUGUAGAGGAUGCUUCGAGCAUGGUCUGGCCUAAGUUCCUUGGAACAGGACGUCAUAGAGGGUGAGAAUCCCGUAUGCGGCCAGGUGCCUACGCUCAUGUGAAGCUCCUUCGACGAGUCGAGUUGUUUGGGAAUGCAGCUCAAAACGGGUGGUAAAUUUCAUCUAAAGCUAAAUAUUGGCCAGAGACCGAUAGCGCACAAGUAGAGUGAUCGAAAGAUGAAAAGCACUUUGGAAAGAGAGUUAAACAGUACGUGAAAUUGUUGAAAGGGAAGCGCUUGCAACCAGACUUGCGCGCGGCCGAUCAUCCGGUGUUCUCACCGGUGCACUCGGCCGUGCUCAGGCCAGCAUCGGUUUUGGCGGCUGGAUAAAGGCCCUAGGAAUGUAGCUCCUCUCGGGGAGUGUUAUAGCCUAGGGUGCAAUGCAGCCUGCUGGGACCGAGGACCGCGCUUCGGCUAGGAUGCUGGCGUAAUGGUUGUAAGCGGCCCGUCUUGAAACACGGACCAAGGAGUCUAACAUCUAUGCGAGUGUUUGGGUGUCAAACCCAUACGCGUAAUGAAAGUGAACGGAGGUGAGAACCCUUAAGGGUGCAUCAUCGACCGGUCCUGAAGUUUACGGAAGGAUCUGAGUAAGA